rnacentral:lncRNA from 1 species
GUUUACUCUGUUGCAUGAAAUUGAAAGCCCACUUAUUUGUUGACAUCACCAAUUAUACAUAAUAGAAGCUUAUAUUUUGGUAUAUGUUUUGGAUUCCAUAAGAGCGAAUAUGUCAUUUUAUUUGAGGAGUGGCUCAAUGUCUUUCAAUACGUCAGAGCCAGCACAACAGUAGGACCCUUUCUGUGUGCAGAGACAGGAAGGCACACACACCUCCCAGCCUUAACCACAGCUCACUUGUACUAAAAGCUACUGGAAAUGAAUUCUGUUUGUAUUUUGGUGCUGAGGAUUGAAUGAAGGGCCUUGUGCAUGCCAUGCAUGCACUCUACAACUGAGCUGUAGCCCCAGCCCUGAAAAUGAAUUCUGAUGCAAAAAUAUGAUAGGAAUACAAAAUGCUCACAGGAUCUGGAGUUGGAGGGACACUGAGACUGCUUUUCCCUUAAAAGAUGAGGGUUCUCCCAGAUCCAGAAACUUUUGUGAGUCCUUCUAGCCCAUCCAUCACUUCCUCCUGAUACCCCCAAAACUUCAUCAGCACCUCUCUUCCUCAUGCUGACACUUUUUUGUGUUCACUUCUGAGACAUUCCAGUUCAUCUGUAAGCUCCUCAGUCUGCUGGAAAAUUUAAAGGUUUACAAAUAGGUUCUGUCAUUUUAAAAAGCUUUGUAGUAAGUUUAAGUAGAGAUCAGACAAACCACAACUUAUUAAGAGGCUACAGGAAGCUGUUGAGCAUUUAAUACCUGUUUAUAACACAAAGCAAAGCUAAUUAUGGUUUUAUUAAGAAACAUCUGUAAUCUCUUUCUUAAACUGGUUUAGCAAUAAGUUUUGUAAAGUGUUUCAGCUGGGGAUUUAUUGUAGGCAUGUAAUUAUGUAAAUUUUCUUAGAUCCCAUGACACAAGGGGAUUGUGGAGAACUGACCUAACUCUGUUAUGAGGGGGAGAUCUGACUUCUAACAGUUUUUAAAGUCCUGCUCUUCCAUACAGCAAUCUUUGUUAUGGUAAUAUUCACAAAAACAAGUUUACUAGCAAACAGAUAACUUGGUGUUUCCUGGAGUACAGCAUCCACUGACUUGACAUGGACUUGAGCUCUACUUCUUUCUUACCUAGACUUCAAACAGCCUCUACUAGCUUUGAUAAUAAGUACCCUAACUGGAAGAUAUUUUGGAAUGCAGUGAAAUAUUGUAGACAUCUCUUAAAGGUCUUUUAGAAUUUUCUUCUCUCUCUCUCUCUCUCUCUCUCUCUUUUUUUUUUUUUUUUUUUUUUGCACUGAUAAUGUUUACACUUACUGAGCAUCAGUUUUGAUACCAGGCCCUUCAUGCAGACCAAAACAAUGAGAAAUGUUUCUAAAUCUCAAAUAUUUAUAAAUAUGAUACCUCUGGCUGAAAAGUUGUUAAACAUCAUUUGUACAUUUUGUCCUUUAUAUUUUUAUGUAAUGCUUUCUGCAAUUAAAUGUGCCUCAGUUAUUUGCUACUUGGCUAACAAAACCUAAAAAUACAGCUGUAAAUAAAGCAUGCUGUAUGUUUUUUUCUUGCUUGAUUUGUUUCUGGUCUGAUUAUGUCUACUUUUUACUUAAGGAACUUUCAUGUGGAUAAUACUCAUAACCAGGGUAAGUUAUGAGUUUUCUUUGGGUAAUUAUUAGAAUUUGUAAUAGUGACAUUUAAAUAGACUUUAUUUGAAAAAGCUACUUGAAAACUGCAGUACAUGCAAUACCUAUAGUGACAUAUAUACAAUUUUUUCCUGAAAAUAUAUAAUAUACAGUA